GGGACACGUGGUAUCCUGUCUGAAUAUGGGGGGACCAUCCUCCAAGGCUAAAUACUCCUGACUGACCGAUAGUGAACCAGUACCGUGAGGGAAAGGCGAAAAGAACCCCGGCGAGGGGAGUGAAAAAGAACCUGAAACCGUGUACGUACAAGCAGUGGGAGCACGCUUAGGCGUGUGACUGCGUACCUUUUGUAUAAUGGGUCAGCGACUUAUAUUCUGUAGCAAGGUUAACCGAAUAGGGGAGCCGAAGGGAAACCGAGUCUUAACUGGGCGUUAAGUUGCAGGGUAUAGACCCGAAACCCGGUGAUCUAGCCAUGGGCAGGUUGAAGGUUGGGUAACACUAACUGGAGGACCGAACCGACUAAUGUUGAAAAAUUAGCGGAUGACUUGUGGCUGGGGGUGAAAGGCCAAUCAAACCGGGAGAUAGCUGGUUCUCCCCGAAAGCUAUUUAGGUAGCGCCUCGUGAAUUCAUCUCCGGGGGUAGAGCACUGUUUCGGCAAGGGGGUCAUCCCGACUUACCAACCCGAUGCAAACUGCGAAUACCGGAGAAUGUUAUCACGGGAGACACACGGCGGGUGCUAACGUCCGUCGUGAAGAGGGAAACAACCCAGACCGCCAGCUAAGGUCCCAAAGUCAUGGUUAAGUGGGAAACGAUGUGGGAAGGCCCAGACAGCCAGGAUGUUGGCUUAGAAGCAGCCAUCAUUUAAAGAAAGCGUAAUAGCUCACUGGUCGAGUCGGCCUGCGCGGAAGAUGUAACGGGGCUAAACCAUGCACCGAAGCUGCGGCAGCGACGCUUAUGCGUUGUUGGGUAGGGGAGCGUUCUGUAAGCCUGUGAAGGUGUGCUGUGAGGCAUGCUGGAGGUAUCAGAAGUGCGAAUGCUGACAUAAGUAACGAUAAAGCGGGUGAAAAGCCCGCUCGCCGGAAGACCAAGGGUUCCUGUCCAACGUUAAUCGGGGCAGGGUGAGUCGACCCCUAAGGCGAGGCCGAAAGGCGUAGUCGAUGGGAAACAGGUUAAUAUUCCUGUACUUGGUGUUACUGCGAAGGGGGGACGGAGAAGGCUAUGUUGGCCGGGCGACGGUUGUCCCGGUUUAAGCGUGUAGGCUGGUUUUCCAGGCAAAUCCGGAAAAUCAAGGCUGAGGCGUGAUGACGAGGCACUACGGUGCUGAAGCAACAAAUGCCCUGCUUCCAGGAAAAGCCUCUAAGCAUCAGGUAACAUCAAAUCGUACCCCAAACCGACACAGGUGGUCAGGUAGAGAAUACCAAGGCGCUUGAGAGAACUCGGGUGAAGGAACUAGGCAAAAUGGUGCCGUAACUUCGGGAGAAGGCACGCUGAUAUGUAGGUGAAGUCCCUUGCGGAUGGAGCUGAAAUCAGUCGAAGAUACCAGCUGGCUGCAACUGUUUAUUAAAAACACAGCACUGUGCAAACACGAAAGUGGACGUAUACGGUGUGACGCCUGCCCGGUGCCGGAAGGUUAAUUGAUGGGGUCAGCGCAAGCGAAGCUCUUGAUCGAA
rnacentral:rRNA from 1 species